GAUGAACGCUGGCUGCGUGCCUAAUACAUGCAAGUCGAGCGAACAUACUAGGAGCUUGCUCCUCUGACGUUAGCGGCGGACGGGUUAGUAACACGUGGAUAACCUACCUAUAAGACUUGGAUAACUUCGGGAAACCGGAGCUAAUACCGGAUAAUAUAUUGAACCGCAUGGUUCAAUAGUGAAAGACGGUUUUGCUUUCACUUAUAGAUGGAUCCGCGCCGCAUUAGCUAGUUGGUAAGGUAACGGCUUACCAAGGCAACGAUGCGUAGCCGACCUGAGAGGGUGAUCGGCCACAAUGGAACUGAGAAACGGUCCAGACACCUACGGGAGGCAGCAGUAGGGAAUCUUCCGCAAUGGGAGAAAGAUUGACGGAGAAACGACGCGUGAGUGAUGAAGGUCUUCGAAUCGUAAAACUCUGUUAUUAGGGAAGAACAAAUGUGUAAGGAACUAUGCACGACGUGAAGGUAACUAAGCAGAAAGCCAAGGAUAACUACGUG
rnacentral:rRNA from 1 species